UACGCGAAUUUGUCGCGCCCGCUGUGCAUC
rnacentral:sRNA from 1 species